GGGCGGCAGAAAGUGGAGCUGGGCUGGUGUGCGCGCGGCCGGAGUCUGUGGAGCUGGAAAUUCACCGGUCCAGGAAGACGUCUUUCCCGCGUCCCAGCACCGGUCCAGAAAGACGUCUUUCCCGCGUCCCAGCACCUCGGGCCACGCUCCUUCGUGAGAGCGCCCUCUCCAAGGAGGCCGGCCCUGGAUAUUUCACCCAAAAUAUUUAUUUUUUCUUUUUUUCUAGACCGUUAGGUUCCGUGGUACCCUGGAGUCCACAGCUGCUGAAUCUGAAGGGCCAUCAGAAGACUGGCUUCUCCAUGAUGGUUUAUGGACUAAGGCAAAGAUGAGCAGAGCCAUGGCCCUCUUCUUUGUUCUCUGCUGGAUCCAAGAUGGAGUGUCGCUCUCUCACCCAGGCUGGAGUGCAGUGGCGCUAUCUUGGCUCACUGCAACAUCUGCUUCCCAGGUUCAAGUGAUUAUCCUGCCUCAGCCUCCCAAGUUGCUGGGAUUACAGGCGUGUGCCACCACGCCUGGCUAAUUUACUAAACUAAUAAAUUACUAAAUUAGUAAGUUACUAGUAAAUUAGUAAUUACUAAAAUAUAAUUUUUAGUAGAGAUGGGAUUUCAUCAUGUUGGCCAGGCUGGUCAUGAACUCCUGACCUCAAUGGAUCCUCCUGCCUCAGCUUCCUGAGUAGCUGGGACCACAGGUGCACACCACCACGCCCAGGUAAUUAAUUUUUAUUUUUUGUAGAGUCGGGGGUCUCCCUAUGUUUCCCAGGCUGGCCUCGAACUCCU
rnacentral:sRNA from 1 species